rnacentral:rRNA from 1 species
GACGGAGGGUGCUAGCGUUGUUCGGAAUCACUGGGCGUAAAGCGCACGUAGGCGGACUCUUAAGUCGGUGGUGAAAUCCUGGAGCUCAACUCCAGAACUGCCUUCGAUACUGGGAGUCUCGAGUCCGGGAGAGGUGAGUGGAACUGCGAGUGUAGAGGUGAAAUUCGUAGAUAUUGGGAAGAACACCGGGUGGCGAAGGCGGCCAUCUGGACCGAGACUGACGCUGAGGCACGGAAAGCGUGGGGGAGCCAAACAGGG